AUGGGGCUGCAUGCUGGGUUGAAGUCCCAGGCUUUGAGGGUCUCCUCCAGGCUCUGGAGGCUGCAGCCCAGUAAGGAAAGGGCAAGAGUGAUAGGUGUGGAGGUGACAGCUACAGAUUCCAUCUUGGGGAGCAUGCAGACUCGUGUCAGCAAAAUUUCACCGAAUGAAUAGCAGAUGCUCUGCAGCGCCUGGCAGUUACGUGGUGGAAAGAUGAACUUCCACUCACGUUGGGUUUUACAGAACGGAUAUAAAUCUGCUCCCUUAUCAGUUCAGCAGCUUAUCACAACUGCAUAGAUAGGAAAGGACAAGUGGAGUGCGUGCAUGCCAAGAAACAGUGGCAUGGCAUGGAGUAGAGUAACCAGGCAAACCUCAGCCCAGGAGAAAAUGAAGUCAAACUUUCUAUAGUUCUUUGAAAGAGCACUGCCAGCAGCUGAAUUUUAUCCUGUGGAAAAGCCAAGCUGAAAGCUUUCCUUAUCUGUAUUGCUGUUGUGCCAGGGAUAAUCUAGAACUGGUUCCCAAUUGCUGUGUUGGCGCUGCUCCCAGCUCAAGGAGGAGCACUGCUGCAGUUCCUCGUCUGUCCUCCAUGAGGCACCCACCUGGGGCCACUGGAAGGGACUGGCAAUGCCCAGAGAAGUCUCUGCCAGAGCUACGCUCUCCUGGUUCUUCUCCAGCACUCUGUUGUACUCUUGCAUCAUGUCUCAGGCCUUGAUAACACGUUCAAUUUGUUCUGUUUAUCACUGGGAACAUGGGCUGUGCAACAACAAACACUGUUCCAUUCUCAGACAGAGCAGCUCAGCACCAUGGGUUGGCUGCAUCCCUCUGCUUCAGUCCUGGGCUCGCUGGCAGCAGUGAAAGAAUCUUGUUGGGUUUGUGAAGCUCAGAAUCAUGGACAACCUCUGAGGCUGAAGUUACAGCCCAGCUGGACCUGAUUGCAACAUGGUACAGGGGAAACACCUUUCCCUUUCAAGCCUUUGGAACCAGUUCAGUCCUGGAAAGCAGUCCCUGUGACCAUAGGAACUUAUGCAUAUCAGGCCUUUCAUUGUCAGAUGGAUAACUUCACACAGAAAAUGUUUUGACUCCCAAAUGUUGCUCCUUGAAAGUUUUCUGGACCUGGCACACGUUUGUCUUUGAAUCUCUUACUACUCUCUAGCUUUUCUCUAGUCACAGUAGUACAAGUGAAAGCGUGCCACUGGACCUUUUCACAAAGGUGCAUUCAUAAGAGUUUCCUUUACUUUGAUUUCUAUCCUAAAACAUCAGCAGUUCUGCAAGAUCUUUUCUAAUCACAGCCUCAUGUUUCUGGGUUCUAGGAACAGCCUUUCUGUUUUGCUGCAUGUGAGGUUCUCCUGCCUCCCUGUAACUGGGCACAGAGAAAACAGCAGUUGGAGAGAAGAUGAGAGCUGAGAGAUGGUUCCUGGGCAUCCUCUGCUGGCAUAUAUCAAAGGCUUACAUCUGGUAUGUAAGGUGUUAUGGAGAUCCAGCAAGGGACAUUUACACUCAUCCAAAGCCUGAUCUGCCUUGCAUACGAGUCCUUCAUGGCUCUUUCACUUCCAGCAUUAGCCCACCCUUGCACUGGCCCCUGCAGGAGACCACUGCUGCCUUCAGCAACCCAGUUGUGUGCUUGCACACUCCAUCACGUUUGAGGAAGAAAACAACAGAAUUCAUGCUCUAAAUUGUACCAUUUGGAGCUCCCAAGGAUUUAGACGGGAUGGCUAAGCCGAGCAUCCUGAACUCCUAGUCAAACUCAUGAUACAGGACACCACCCGUGUCAGCCCGAAACUGCAUUGUAGAUCACAAUCAGUGACGACGCAUUUGAACCAACUUUUGAUGCAAUCUUUCAAGAAAAGAAAAAAAACCCACACCAGCAUCCGCAAAAAACCAGGGGAGAACCACUGACGUAAAACUCAUGGUACUUAAACACCACUUGGCUGUCCCCAUCCACAGCUCCCGAGCCAACAAGCAGCUCGAACACCAGCAUCUCACAAGCCUCCUGCUGCCUGAGCCACCAUGGAACGCCAAGCAGAAAUCACGUUUGUGAUCUUCCUCCUCUGUUCACUGGCUCCUUUGGUCUCCUUGGCACCAAGAGCUGCCUCAGAAGAAGGGAAAACUACUAUAGGACAGAGCCAGAAGCAUACUACCAGCAUAAAGCCCUUUCUAGUGCUAGAAAAGAAAGCAACUACCUUGUUCAAAAACUAUAACGCGUGUACUCCCAUAACAGAAACAACCAAAACCUGGCUAACUGCUGACACCCAAGUCAAUGAAAUGAUGAAGAAAAUACCCAAAUGCCCAGCUGUGGAAGCAGACUGCUGCAUGCACGUAUUUUACAAUGUUUUAGAAACCCUAAAAAGCGAUAUAGAAACGAUUUGUGGUAAGAAUUUCACCAAAUUUGUGAAUGCCAACACCAUCCAGUUAGACACAACACUGAUGGAAAGACACGCGUUUCACAGCUGCGAGAACAAGGAGCUUCUGCAGGGUAUUCACAGCGACAUCCGUGCACUGAGAACAGCACGGAAGAUGAUGUACAUUUGGCGGGUUUUAGAGAAAUAUGAACAAUUUAUUCAAAACGCAACAAAAUCGUACGAGUCAGGAGAAAUGUAAUAUGUCCGGGUGAAAAUAUAACUGCAGGAUCUCAAAGCUUUAACCAUAUGUGACCAUCCAUCAUUUAUGAUCAGUCUGAUGCCAGGAACAACAUUAAUAAUGUAUUUGCUAUCCUAGUCAUAGCUACACAAUCUGGUUUAAUUUAAUAUUUAAAAGAUGAAUGUCUUAAGUUAUUGAUUUUAUUUAUUAUAAAACUAUUUAUACUGUUCUAUUUCAACAUCGUGUAAAAAGGGUGCACUUACGUAAGCCAGAGUGGUUUAAUUAAAUGGCUAUUGUAUGAAUUAGCAAAAAGGUAAGCAUGAUUUCAGUGAUUUUAAUGUUAUUUAUAUUUUUAUCUUAUAAUUAUUUCCAAGAGACAGAAAUGAAUGCCAGCAGACUUACCAGUGAGUAUUUAUGGAUGUAUGGAAUACAUAUCUGUCUAAAUUUAUUUAAGCAUUUUUAUAGUUUAUAUUUAUUCAGAUUUUUAAUGUUUAUACUUUAAUGCUUGAAAGGGUUGAAUGAGAUGCUCACAACUUAGGUGGACAGUUUUACUCGUUUUCUGUAUAUUUGGAUAAAACCUGGCACUGGAUUAAAAUGAGAUUAAAUAAAACUUAUACUGCUGAUUCUUUAUUAUGUAAUUCUUUUCUUUCUCUGGUAUUUUGAACAUCGAAAACCCAUGGUUUUAUUAAACAGCAAACGUCCCCAUCCACUUCUUGCUGAUAGAUCUGAAGAAAGAUCACAGCAGCUUUUCUCCCUAAGCUCCCAAUUGGUUUCCUA